rnacentral:rRNA from 1 species
UACGUAGGGACCAAGCGUUGUUCGGAUUUACUGGGCGUAAAGGGCGCGUAGGCGGCUUAACAAGUCACUUGUGAAAUCUCCGGGCUUAACUCGGAACGGCCAAGUGAAACUGUCAAGCUAGAGUGCAGAAGGGGCAAUCGGAAUUCCUGGUGUAGCGGUGAAAUGCGCAGAUAUCAGGAGGAACACCAAUUGCGAAGGCAGCUCGCUGGGACGUAACUGACGCUGAGACGCGAAAGCGUGGGAGCAAACAGG